UGUGGGAAGAGAAGACGUUUUGCUGUUCAUAGUGAUAAGUGUUGAUACCUGACAUACAGUUCUGGCCAGUACCUUAACAUACAGGCUAGUUCACCAACAUACAGGCCAGUAGUAUGGGAGUAGAGGAAACACAAACGAGGUGACGAGGCGUGACAACCCACAAGGAACAAGUGAGUGUGGAAAAAUGCGAGGUAGUGUUGAUCGAUGCUGACUGCUAAUUGUCAUGUGUAAUCCUUGGUGAUGCAGAAAAAUAACAGUUGUGAUUCCUGUUGUUUCUUUUGUUAGAGCGAGUGUUUAUAAGGAGUAACGAUGCGGCAAUGGUUACGAGUCACGCCGCACACCUGUAAUACAUGGCGGGGAGGCAGGUGAGAUCAUUAGAGCAGCCACAGGUGAAGGGCUCAGUUGACCCAGCCUGGGAGAAAGAGAAGGAAAUGAUGAUGAGGGAGAGAAAUUCAAGCCACCAAACAGGAAAAAUA